ncrna:unclassified sequences RT-5 RNA
UAGCGCCUGUGGCGGGUCCGGCACGGAUCAUUAUAGGCUUCGCAGGCAGCCGGUCCGUGUACGAUCUCGUACAUCCAAGAAAUUUCUUGGAUUUAAUGAUUUCU